GUGAAUCAUCAAAUUUUUGAACGCAAAUUGCACUCCCUGGUAUUCCGGGGAGUAUGCCUGUUUGAGGGUCGUUAGAACAAAAAUCGAAGCGUCGCUCUUUUUUUUAAUGUUUAUCGCGUCUGAAUUUAGCCGUCUUUCAAAUGUUAAUCCAUGUCAAAUUGGCUUAAAAUUCAUCCAUCCGGUACGAUUAAAGCGUAUUUAAGAUUAAUUUUUAUUAAAAACGCUCGAUGAACGUACC
rnacentral:misc_RNA from 1 species